rnacentral:tRNA from 1 species
GAAGCGUUAGCUCAGCUGGAAGAGCGGCUGCACUGCACGCAGGAGGUCGUGGGUUCGAGUCUCACACGCUUUCCA